GUCAGUCAGUCAGUACGGUAGGCAUCCUCGCGGCAGUACACCUCUGCACCGAUCAAGUUUCGCGAACAAGAAACGGGUGGAAACAAAAACCCCAAACGAACGGAAUCUGGCCGAAGACAGAAAAACACCGGCCUAGCAAGUGUUCCUCCACGUUGGAAACAAGCGUCAAAGAAAUCGGAUUCUUCCACCGCAUGGAAACGCGAAAGUGAAUUCCAAUCGGAAACUCUUGCAAGGCUGCAGGAAACAAAAGCGCGAGGAUUGCUUUAAAACGGUCGAGGUAGGACACAUAAAGUCAUCACCAUCAACAACACCCAAAGAAGCCUUCUAAAAAGAAGGCUUCUUUAACAGACAUUAUCUACCGUACUGGCAUCGGAUUUGAAGUAAACAGUGCCCGCACGUCGUUCGAGGCAUCGGGCAGUAGAUCGACGUGCAGCGGCCCACGCGGGUAGGAGAAAGUAAACAGCACCCUCACGUCGUUCGAGGCAGCGGGCAGUAGAUCGACGUGUAGCGGUCCACGCGAGAAGAGUAGGAGAAGGCAAACAACGCCCCCACGUCGUUCGAGGCAGCGGGCAGUAGAUCGACGUGGAGUGACACGUGUGCAGGAUCGACAUUCCAGCGUCCUAUUUCGUCAGACGGUGACAACGAGGACAAAUAGGAGAAGCGUAAACAAGUCAUCGUAGUUGGGGCACGGAGCCGAGCGAGUGUUUAGCCACAAAGUGGCGUUCUGAAAGAUCGCGUUAUCGAACGCAUUUCUGCAUGCUGAAACCCCUUCGCACGUAUGCGGAGAACUCUCAACGGGGCCCCGUUCAUCGACAGCAGUACAGCAGAGCAUCAGUCGUGUCAACAAGGUACCUUAGUUUUAAGUAGCGUAAGAAUGAGCACUCGUAAAGAAUAUAUUUGUAACAAUGCAUAUGUUAUGCUAGUAUUUUGUUAACCGUGUCCCAUUGACUGCACGAGUACCUUAUGAACCAGUACAAGUUGCUUAGCCGGGCAUGAUCUUUGAAUGCAAUAGGUCUCGCCCA